ACUUUACUUUGUGUUUUUGGGUCCUUGCAAUGCUCUAAUAUCCUCUGUAUUACACGGCACCCAUAUGGAUGGGUGGAGAGAUUCACAACUUGAUCAAAGAAUGUUGAGACAACAAAUUGGAUAUUUUCUUCAGGAACACACUCAAUACACUUUUGGAUUACAUGGUUCCCAUUCUGGUCGCGUACACAACGCGUGACAUGACCAUCAAGCUCUUCGACCAUUUUAAUCUUCUGGUCUAGAUCAACAACCUCAAUGGCCUUCUGGAUCACNNNNNNCUAAGUGUCAAAACAUGACCAAAAAGCUUGCCAGCCAGUUCUCUUCUCUGUGAAGGAAGCCCAUGCUCAAAGAACUUCUGUAUUACAUAAUUACCAAACACAUCAGUCAUUAAAGCAAG
rnacentral:misc_RNA from 1 species